rnacentral:rRNA from 1 species
UGUGUGACUGCGUACCUUUUGUAUAAUGGGUCAGCGACUUAUAUUCUGUAGCAAGGUUAACCGAAUAGGGGAGCCGGAGGGAAACCGAGUCUUAAUUGGGCGUUAAGUUGCAGGGUAUAGACCCGAAACCCGGUGAUCUAGCCAUGGGCAGGUUGAAGGUUGGGUAACACUAACUGGAGGACCGAACCGACUAAUGUUGAAAAAUUAGCGGAUGACCUGUGGCUGGGGGUGAAAGGCCAAUCAAACCGGGAGAUAGCUGGUUCUCCCCGAAAGCUAUUUAGGUAGCGCCUCGUGAAUUCAUCUCCGGGGGUAGAGCACUGUUUCGGCUAGGGGGCCAUCCCGGCUUACCAACCCGAUGCAAACUGCGAAUACCGGAGAAUGUUAUCACGGGAGACACACGGCGGGUGCUAACGUCCGUCGUGAAGAGGGAAACAACCCAGACCGCCAGCUAAGGUCCCAAAGUCAUGGUUAAGUGGGAAACGAUGUGGGAAGGCCCAGACAGCCAGGAUGUUGGCUUAGAAGCAGCCAUCAUUUAAAGAAAGCGUAAUAGCUCACUGGUCGAGUCGGCCUGCGCGGAAGAUGUAACGGGGCUAAACCAUGCACCGAAGCUGCGGCAGCGACACUCAGGUGUUGUUGGGUAGGGGAGCGUUCUGUAAGCCUGCGAAGG